UACGGAGGGAGCUAGCGUUGUUCGGAUUUACUGGGCGUAAAGGGCGCGUAGGCGGCAAUUCAAGUCAUCUGUGAAAUCUCCGGGCUUAACCCGGAACGGUCAGAUGAUACUGCUUUGCUAGAGUGCGGAAGGGGCAAUCGGAAUUCUCGGUGUAGCGGUGAAAUGCGUAGAUAUCGAGAGGAACACCUGAGGUGAAGACGGGUUGCUGGGCCGACACUGACGCUGAGUGCGCGAAAGCCAGGGGAGCAAACGGG
rnacentral:rRNA from 1 species